rnacentral:rRNA from 1 species
UACGAAGGGGGGCGAGCGUUGUUCGGAUUUACUGGGCGUAAAGGGCGCGCAGGCGGCUCAUUUUGUCAGGCGUGAAAGCCCCGGGCUUAACCUGGGAACUGCCUUUGAUACUGGGUAUCUUUGAGUCCGGAAGAGGUGAGUGGAAUUCCGAGUGUAGAGGUGAAAUUCGUAGAUAUUCGGAGGAACACCAGUGGCGAAGGCGGCUCACUGGUCCGGUACUGACGCUGAGGUGCGAAAGCGUGGGGAGCAAACAGG